GGAGGCUAUGAAACCGGAACGCUAGUUUCGGUGGAGCCGUCCUUGAAAUACCACCCUGGUUUGUUUGAGGUUCUAACCUUGGCCCGUGAUCCGGGUCGGGGACAGUGCAUGGUAGGCAGUUUGACUGGGGCGGUCUCCUCCCAAAGCGUAACGGAGGAGUACGAAGGUACGCUAGGUACGGUCGGAAAUCGUGCUGAUAGUGCAAUGGCAUAAGCGUGCUUAACUGCGAGACCGACAAGUCGAGCAGGUGCGAAAGCAGGUCAUAGUGAUCCGGUGGUUCUGUAUGGAAGGGCCAUCGCUCAACGGAUAAAAGGUACUCUGGGGAUAACAGGCUGAUACCGCCCAAGAGUUCAUAUCGACGGCGGUGUUUGGCACCUCGAUGUCGGCUCAUCUCAUCCUGGGGCUGUAGCCGGUCCCAAGGGUAUGGCUGUUCGCCAUUUAAAGAGGUACGUGAGCUGGGUUUAAAACGUCGUGAGACAGUUUGGUCCCUAUCUGCCGUGGGCGUUGGAUAUUUGAAGGGGGCUGCUCCUAGUACGAGAGGACCGGAGUGGACGAACCUCUGGUGUACCGGUUGUCACGCCAGUGGCAUCGCCGGGUAGCUAUGUUCGGAAGAGAUAACCGCUGAAAGCAUCUAAGCGGGAAACUCGCCUUAAGAUGAGAUAUCCCUGGGGACUAGAUCCCCUUGAAGGGUCGUUCGAGACCAGGACGUUGAUAGGUCGGGUGUGUAAGCGCAGUAAUGCGUUCAGCUAACCGAUACUAAUUGCCCGUAAGGCUUGAUCCUAUAACA
rnacentral:rRNA from 1 species